UACGAAGGGGGCUAGCGUUGUUCGGAAUUACUGGGCGUAAAGGGCGCGCAGGCGGCUCUUCAAGUCAGAUGUGAAAGCCCCGGGCUCAACCUGGGAACUGCAUUUGAGACUGGAGAGCUUGAGUUCGGGAGAGGAGAGCGGAAUUCCCAGUGUAGAAGGUGAAAUUCGUAGAUAUUGGGAAGAACACCGGUGGCGAAGGCGGCGACCUGGUCCUUGACUGACGCUGAGGCGCGAAAGCGUGGGGAGCAAACAGG
rnacentral:rRNA from 1 species